rnacentral:rRNA from 1 species
GACGAACGCUGGCGGCGUGCUUAACACAUGCAAGUCGAACGGAAAGGCCCUGCUUGCAGGGUACUCGAGUGGCGAACGGGUGAGUAACACGUGGGUGAUCUGCCCUUCACUUCGGGAUAAGCCUGGGAAACUGGGUCUAAUACCGGAUAGGAGCCAUUUUUAGUGUGAUGGUUGGAAAGUUUUUUCGGUGUAGGAUGAGCUCGCGGCCUAUCAGCUUGUUGGUGGGGUAAUGGCCUACCAAGGCGGCGACGGGUAGCCGGCCUGAGAGGGUGGACGGCCACAUUGGGACUGAGAUACGGCCCAGACUCCUCGGGGAGGAAGCAGUGGGGAAAAUUGCAAAAUGGGGGCAAGCCUGAUGCAGCGACGCCGCGUGGGGAUGACGGCCUUCGGGUUGUAAACUCCUUUCGCUAGGGACGAAGCUUUUUGUGACGGUACCUAGAUAAGAAGCACCGGCUAACUACGUG